UACAGGGGGUGCAAACGUUGCUCGGAAUUACUGGGCGUAAAGGGCGCGUAGGCGGAUGUUUAAGUCGGGGGUGAAAGCCCGGGGCUCAACCUCGGAAUUGCCUUCGAUACUGGACAUCUUGAGUACGGGAGAGGUGAGUGGAACUCCGAGUGUAGAGGUGAAAUUCGUAGAUAUUCGGAAGAACACCAGUGGCGAAGGCGACUCACUGGCCCGUUACUGACGCUGAGGCGCGAAAGCGUGGGGAGCGAACAGG
rnacentral:rRNA from 1 species